rnacentral:rRNA from 1 species
GAAAUGCGAUAAGUAAUGUGAAUUGCAGAAUUCAGUGAAUCAUCGAAUCUUUGAACGCACCUUGCGCUCCUUGGUAUUCCGAGGAGCAUGCCUGUUUGAGUGUCAUUAAAUUCUCAACCUCACCAGUUUUGUAACGAGACAGGUGAAGGCUUGGAUGUGGGGGUUUUGCAGGCUGCCUCAGUGCUGGUCUGCUCUCCUGAAAUGCAUUAGCGAGCUCAUAUUGAGCUUCCGUCUAUUGGUGUGAUAAUUAUCUACGCCGUGGAUUGGACUAAUGCCUGCUUCUAACCGUCCGCAAGGACAAUUUACUUGACCAAUUUGACCUCAAAUCAGGUAGGACUACCCGCUGAACUUAAGCAUAUCAAUAAGCGGAAGGAAAAGAAACUAACAAGGAUUCCCCUAGU